UACGGGGGGUGCAAGCGUUGUUCGGAAUUAUUGGGCGUAAAGGGCAGGUAGGUGGUCUUAGAAGUCAACUGUGAAAUCCCCGAGCUUAACUUGGGAAGUGCGGUUGAUACUCUUAGACUAGAGUGCUGGAUGGGUGCGUGGAAUUCUCGGUGUAGCGGUGAAAUGCGUAGAUAUCAAGAGGAACACCUGCGGCGAAGGCGGGUUGCUGGGCCGACACUGACGCUGAAGCGCGAAAGCUAGGGGAGCGAACGGG
rnacentral:rRNA from 1 species